UCUCUUGGAGAUUGCUUGCUAGUGAAGAUUGCCUCAGCUCCUAGUGUCAUCACUGGAUCACAUUUCUGAGUCAAUAGUGGAAGGACGCGGUUCUCAAAGUUGGCAUGGCUUCUUUCACCCAUAUGCUUCUCUCCAGUUUUCUGACUAAAUCUAUGUAUCCGGCCUAGCCAGCAGGAGCAAGAGAGUGCACUGCUAGGAAAACUCAUUUCUGUGCAAAUGGACUCUGGAACCUUAGCGCAAAGAGCUCUUGAAUGUGAGCAUGCGAGUGGGGUUUUGUUUUUUUAAGAGGCUUAUAACUUGAAGACAUGGAGCUGAGUUUUGCAGCUGUUUCUCAAGUCAUCUCUCUGCCAUAAGAUUCUCAGCCACAUUUACAUUCCUGUCCUAUUUCAAAGAAAAGAUCUAAGGAAUUUUUUACGUGGAAAGGAAUUAUUUUUCGAAGAUAUCCAACCUGAGGUGUACAUAGAUUUAACUUUAGCAAUGUUUUAUGAAUAAGACAGUUUCUGGCCUGCAUAUUUUAAUGUUAAUAAACCUUCAUAAUAAAAUACGUUUUAGUGUUCUGGUCUUGUAUAUGAAAGUGGGGUGUUAGUAUAGGUGAAAAUAUAUAUUAAAGCUGAACGUUUCUGUUGUGCGUACACUUCACCAUGCCCUUUUUUUCAUUUGUAAACUGGAAUUUGUUUCUUUUGUGGCAGAUCUCUGUGUAAUUAAAAGGAAAAAAAGAAUGAGGGAGCACUUUUUUUUUAAUCUUAGAAGUGGUUGAAUCUACCUGUCAUGAUCAGUAUGCAGAUGAAUAGAAUUCACUUCAUGGGAAGAUUAAUUGAUUUUAUGAAAUCUCAUUUGUGAAGCUUUAGUACUAAUGAGCUUUUGAUCUUAUUCUUCCAAGUACUACUAACUACAUAUGUGUAUUUUUUCUGUACACAACUAUGGUGUUGCCUUGUUUACAUUUCAGCUUUGGGAACUGUUUGAUUGUGUCUUUAAGAAUAUAUUUCCUAUGUGUGGGAAGUUAGAAAUAUUUGAAAAGAUGCCUUUUAGUAAAUAUUAUGUCAAAUUUUAGGGUGGGAAGGGAAACCUACUGAAGAUAUCUAUCCAUGUGAUUGCAGUUGUAAUGUACUUCUGCUAAACUAUAGGUCAUAGUGAAUGAACAUGUACCUCUGAGAACAGUUGUGCACCCUGAGGAUACCGUGCCCUUUUUAGAUUGCUGGAGGUUAAAAUAGUGAAAAUUCUUUAAUUUCUUAGUUUUUUUGUUAGAGUUUCCUUGAAGUUGUACUACAUAAAUUGAUAACAUCUUUAAAAGAUUUUUUUAAUAACAUUUUACAAUUGAGAUCAUGCUAGUACUGAAAUAUUUCUAAAUUCUCCUUCAUGAUUAUCUGAUAUUGUAACAUCCAAAUUCAGAUUCUUCUUAAUGUGAGCGUGCAGUACAAGAGUGGGGGAGAAACUACCCCUGAAACAUCUUUCUUGUAUCUGGUGUUUACCUUUGUUUCUCCUUUUGAAAUUAGAAUUGAUGUAUAUAGAAUAAUUUUUUCCAGUGCAGCUGUUACUCAGUUUGAAAGAUGACAAACAGGGAGACAGUGCUCUCAUCUGUGGAACAAAGGUUGACAAAAGUCAUUCUGCAUAUCAAGAUUUUAAAAUUCUGCCUCUGAAGUGAGAAGUGCACUUAAGAAUAAAAAAUAAAAAUAUAGUAAACAAAAAUAAGAAGGAAAAAAAACAAAAAGGAAAAAAGAGAAGAGGCAUUUGAACCAGUACCGUGUUAAUAUAGUAGAACAAUCUCCUAAAGCUCUUGUCAUCUGUGACAAGGACAUCAAUAAUAGUCAUUGUCAACAUUCGUUAAGCUCAGAUUUUCCAGAUUUAUGUGUCUCAGAAUGAUUUUCAUUGAUAUAUUUUCCCUGGAAAAAGAACAGACCCUAAAUUAAACAUGUAUAUAAUGCUUGUUUUCCUUCCUCA